rnacentral:sRNA from 1 species
GCCAGGCAUCGUUGUGAGUGCCUGUAGUCCCAGAUACUAGGGAGGCUAAGGUAGGAGAAUCACCUAAGCCCAGCCUGGACAACACAGUGAAACCCUUCU